CAGAACCUGGAGAAAAUGCCCCCACCCCUAUAACUCAGCAUUUCCCCAAAUCCAGGCUUUUCUGGGAGCAAACGACCAGGCACAGUCGGCUCAGGGGCUCCACCUUCUGUCCAGAUCAUGACACAAGAGAGACUAGUGCCAAGGACGUCAUAGGCAGAUGGGAGGAAACUUACAGGCCUCUACUCCACCCCUGGCACCUUUCCCAAGGCCCCUCCUCAACCUUCAGCCCCCAGGGGCCUCUGAAUUGGGAUCUCAGUUUGUCCCCGCCCUGCUUCGACCCAACUUGAAUGCCUCAGGGGUGGAGCCUAUAGACGCAGGCUCCUCCUCAGGACAAAAGCCCCAGCUGGUUUGUAAACAGUCAUUAGCGAAGAACCACAUCCCAGCAAAUGGCCUUUAUGGAUUUCAAAAUGGAAUAAACUACAUAGAAUAUUCAAGAAGCAAAUAAUUUCCUUUGACAAAUAACAAAAAGGCCAAAGCUGAGGCCCUACUAUUGAGAUCACAUCAUCUACAGGGAACCCCUCACAAGACCCACAGCUGUCCAUCAAGACAAUGGCUUUUCAUUUUUGAUGACCCCAUUUCAAACAUAUGUGGUCUACUUUGUGCUGUUUCUUACAGCCACUCUAAUGUUCAGUGUUGGUUAUGUUGUCAGGACCAAGAAAAACAGACCAAUUCUGACAGGUGUACAUUUUAUUGGAAACCUUAAAUACUCUUCAGACAGAACACAAUGUCUUCAAUCAAGGCUCUGAUUGUGGCCUAAGGAGUAAACAGAUUUUUGGAUUAGGGGCAAGGAAAAGUACAGCACAGAGGACAAGCGCUUAGUUUGCCAAAAGGAUUUCCUCACGAAUGCUCUUCAGCCAGUUUAUCAGCUUUUGCCACAGCUUCCUCAAUGGGUCCCACCAUAUAGAAGGCCUGUUCUGGGAGAUGGUCAUAUUCACCUGUAUGGGAAAAAAAUUCAAUGGUGAGAAGUGGAAUGAUAAACUUUUUGUGGUAUAUAAAUACUUCACCACUUGGGGCAACCAGUCAGAAUAUGAUAAAUGUGUGUCAUCCAAGAAAUCUUUUAACAAACUUCUGUCUUAAAUCCAAUUUACAAGACGAUAUAGUAGGGAUUAAGAAUAAAUGGUCCUGGGGCGCCUGAGUGGCUCAGUCGGCUAAGCGUCCGACUUCAGCUCAGGUCACGAUCUCGCGGUCCAUGAGUUCGAGCCCCGCGUCGGGCUCUGGGCUGAUGGCUCAGAGCCUGGAGCCUGUUUCCGAUUCUGUGUCUCCCUCUCUUUCUGCCCCUCCCCCGUUCAUGCUCUGUCUCUCUCUGUCCCAAAAAUAAAUAAACGUAAAAAAAAAAAAGAA